rnacentral:rRNA from 1 species
UACGUAGGGUGCAGGCGUUAAUCGGAAUUACUGGGCGUAAAGCGUGCGCAGGCGGUUUGCUAAGACAGGUGUGAAAUCCCCGGGCUUAACCUGGGAAUGGCGCUUGUUACUGGCAGACUAGAGUGCGUCAGAGGGGGGUGGAAUUCCACGUGUAGCAGUGAAAUGCGUAGAGAUGUGGAGGAACACCGAUGGCGAAGGCAGCCCCCUGGGAUGACACUGACGCUCAUACACGAAAGCGUGGGGAGCAAACAGG